CUCUUAGAUGUUCUGGGCCGCACGCGCGCUACACUGAUGCAUUCAACGAGCCUAUCCUUGACCGACAGGUCCGGGUAAUCUUUGAAUCUGCAUCGUGACGGGGAUAGAUUAUUGCAAUUAUUAAUCUUCAACGAGGAAUGCCUAGUAGGCGCAAGUCAUCAGCUUGCGUCGAUUACGUCCCUGCCCUUUGUACACACCGCCCGUCGCUCCUACCGAUUGGGUGUGCUGGUGAAAUGUUCGGAUCGGCCGUUUGUCGCGGUUUCCGCGUCAUGUGGCUGAGAAGUUCAUUAAACCCUCCCACCUAGAGGAAGGAGAAGUCGUAACA
rnacentral:rRNA from 1 species